AACGAACGCUGGCGGCAUGCCUAACACAUGCAAGUCGAACGAGACCUUCGGGUCUAGUGGCGCACGGGUGCGUACCGCGGGGGAACCUGCCCUUAGGUUCGGAAUAACUCCCCGAAAGGGGUGCUAAUACCGGAUAAUGUCUUCGGACCAAAGAUUUAUCGCCUUUGGAUGGGCCCGCGUUGGAUUAGCUAGUUGGUAGGGUAAAAGCCUACCAAGGCGACGAUCCAUAGCUGGUCUGAGAGGAUGAUCAGCCACACUGGAAAUGAGACACGGCCCAGACUCCUACGGGAGGCAGCAGUGGGGAAUAUUAGACAAUGGGCGAAAGCCUGAUCCAGCAAUGCCGCGUGAGUGAUGAAGGCCUUAGGGUUGUAAAGCUCUUUUACCCGGGAUGAUAAUGACAGUACCGGGAGAAUAAGCUCCGGCUAACUCCGUG
rnacentral:rRNA from 1 species